AAGUCCUGGCUUCGCUGCUAGAUCAACAUGAAUACAGUAUAGGUAUAAAUGUUUGACCAAAAAUGGCAAUUUCUUAUGUUUUUAGGGGUAUUAAGAAAGUGUUCUUUGGUUUAUUUUGCUUUUGAUUGUAAUAAUGUAUGCAAAUCCUGGUAACCAUUAAUUUUCUCAAACUUAAUGUCUGAAAGCUUCAUAAAGUCAACCUAAAUAUUUACCUUAAGG